rnacentral:rRNA from 1 species
UACGGAGGGUGCAAGCGUUAUCCGGAUUCACUGGGUUUAAAGGGUGCGUAGGUGGGUUGGUAAGUCAGUGGUGAAAUCCCCGAGCUUAACUUGGGAACUGCCAUUGAUACUAUUAAUCUUGAAUACCGUGGAGGUUAGCGGAAUAUGUCAUGUAGCGGUGAAAUGCUUAGAUAUGACAUAGAACACCAAUUGCGAAGGCAGCUUACUACAGGGACAUUGACACUGAGGCACGAAAGCGUGGGGAUCAAACAGG